rnacentral:rRNA from 1 species
UACGGGGGGGGCAAGCGUUGUUCGGAAUUACUGGGCGUAAAGGGCUCGUAGGCGGCCAACUAAGUCAGACGUGAAAUCCCUCGGCUUAACCGGGGAACUGCGUCUGAUACUGGAUGGCUUGAGGUUGGGAGAGGGAUGCGGAAUUCCAGGUGUAGCGGUGAAAUGCGUAGAUAUCUGGAGGAACACCGGUGGCGAAGGCGGCCUGCUGGGCAGUUGCUGACACUGAGGCGCGACAGCGUGGGGAGCAAACAGG